rnacentral:rRNA from 1 species
UACAGAGGUCCCAAGCGUUGUUCGGAUUCACUGGGCGUAAAGGGUGCGUAGGUGGUCGGGUAAGUCUGAUGUGAAAUCUCCGAGCUUAACUCGGAAAUGGCAUUGGAUACUAUUCGGCUAGAGGGUUUGAGGGGGGACUGGAAUACUUGGUGUAGCGGUGAAAUGCGUAGAGAUCGGGAGGAACACCUGCGGCGAAGGCGGGUUGCUGGGCUGACACUGACGCUGAAGCGCGAAAGCUAGGGGAGCGAACGGG